rnacentral:rRNA from 1 species
GACGAACGCUGGCGGCGUGCCUAAUACAUGCAAGUCGAACGCUUCUUUCCUCCCGAGUGCUUGCACUCAAUUGGAAAGAGGAGUGGCGGACGGGUGAGUAACACGUGGGUAACCUACCCAUCAGAGGGGGAUAACACUUGGAAACAGGUGCUAAUACCGCAUAACAGUUUAUGCCGCAUGGCAUAAGAGUGAAAGGCGCUUCCGGGUGUCGUUGAUGGAUGGACCCGCGGUGCAUUAGCUAGUUGGUGAGGUAACGGCUCACCAAGGCCACGAUGCAUAGCCGACCUGAGAGGGUGAUCGGCCACACUGGGACUGAGACACGGCCCAGACUCCUACGGGAGGCAGCAGUAGGGAAUCUUCGGCAAUGGACGAAAGUCUGACCGAGCAACGCCGCGUGAGUGAAGAAGGUUUUCGGAUCGUAAAACUCUGUUGUUAGAGAAGAACAAGGACGUUAGUAACUGAACGUCCCCUGACGGUAUCUAACCAGAAAGCCACGGCUAACUACGUG